GCCAGUUAGAAAUGCGUAGCACUGUUCAUAGAGCAUACAGAUCUGGGACAUGAGUGAUGAUGAAACAGUCUGAAAGUCAGCUGAAUAAGGUGGAAGAUGACCUACUUUGAACUGUGUUGCUGCCUUUUAUCUGUUAUUCGACAAGUUAAUGAUUGCUUACCCAUUCUGACUGCCAUGAAUAUGAACAAUUUAAAUCACAUACUGGCAUGAAUAUCUUCACUGUAAAAGCAGUCAUUUCUGGAUAUAACUCUUCGUAUUUUCAUUUUCAUUAUGUAAAUAACCAAAGUAAUGUGGUUAUGUUUAAAUCUUAUUCCCUUUUUUUUUCCCUCCAUUUUCUUAAUGAGACAUACAUAAAAUUUGCUGCUUUAGUGAACUUUGGUAUUUCAUUUGUUCCAUUUUUUAUUUUGCUUGUAAGCAGACAUGUCUAAGCAGCAUCUCUAAAUGCUUUUUCUUCAUCUUUCCAACACUUGUGUACCUUUACUUAGAGUUCAUUAUUAAGUUGAG
rnacentral:lncRNA from 1 species